rnacentral:rRNA from 1 species
CCUACGGGGGGCAGCAGUGAGGAAUAUUGGUCAAUGGACGAGAGUCUGAACCAGCCAAGUAGCGUGAAGGAUGACUGCCCUAUGGGUUGUAAACUUCUUUUAUAUGGGAAUAAAAUGUUCCACGUGUGGGAUUUUGUAUGUACCAUAUGAAUAAGGAUCGGCUAACUCCGUGCCAGCAGCCGCGGUAAUACGGAGGAUCCGAGCGUUAUCCGGAUUUAUUGGGUUUAAAGGGAGCGUAGGUGGAUUGUUAAGUCAGUUGUGAAAGUUUGCGGCUCAACCGUAAAAUUGCAGUUGAAACUGGCAGUCUUGAGUACAGUAGAUGUGGGCGGAAUUCGUGGUGUAGCGGUGAAAUGCUUAGAUAUCACGAAGAACUCCGAUUGCGAAGGCAGUUCACUGGACUGCAACUGACACUGAGGCUCGAAAGUGUGGGUAUCAAACAGGAUUAGAUACCCGAGUAGUC